rnacentral:misc_RNA from 1 species
AAGUCGUAACAAGGUUUCCGUAGGUGAACCUGCGGAAGGAUCAUUACCGAAUUGUCAAACGGGUUGUUGCUGGUCCUCAAACGGGGACAUGUGCACGCUCUGUUUACACAUCCACUCACACCUGUGCACCCUCCGUAGUUCUAUGGUCUGGGGGACCCCGUCUUCCUGCCGUGGUUCUGCGUCUUUACACACACGCUGUAACAAAGUCUUAUGGAAUGUAUGCCGCGUCUAACGCAAUACAAUACAACUUUCAGCAACGGAUCUCUUGGCUCUC